rnacentral:rRNA from 1 species
GAUGAACGCUGGCGGCGUGCCUAAUACAUGCAAGUCGAGCGAACAGACGAGGAGCUUGCUCCUCUGACGUUAGCGGCGGACGGGUGAGUCACACGUGGAUAACCUACCUAUAAGACUGGGAUAACUUCGGGAAACCGGAGCUAAUACCGGAUAAUAUAUUGAACCGCAUGGUUCAAUAGUGAAAGACGGUUUUGCUGUCUCUUAUCGCUGGUUCCGCGCCGCAUUAGCUAGUUGGUAAGGUAACGGCUUACCAAGGCAACGAUGCGUAGCCGACCUGAGAGGGUGAUCGGCCACACUGGAACGUGGACACGGUCCAUGCUCCUACGGGAGGCAGCAGUAGGGAAUCUUCCGCAAUGGGCGAAAGCUUGACGGAGCAACGGCGCGUGAGUGAUGAAGGUCUUCGGAUCGUAAAACUCUGUUAUUAGUGAAGAACAAAUGUGGAAGUAACUGUGCACGUCGUGACGGUACCUAAUCAAAAAGCCACGGCUAACUACGUG